rnacentral:rRNA from 1 species
CCUACGGGUGGCAGCAGUGAGGAAUAUUGGUCAAUGGACGAGAGUCUGAACCAGCCAAGUAGCGUGAAGGAUGACUGCCCUAUGGGUUGUAAACUUCUUUUAUAAAGGAAUAAAACGAGGCACGUGUGCCUUUUUGUAUGUACUUUAUGAAUAAGGAUCGGCUAACUCCGUGCCAGCAGCCGCGGUAAUACCGAGGAUCCGAGCGUUAUCCGGAUUUAUUGGGUUUAAAGGGAGCGUAGAUGGGUUGUUAAGUCAGUUGUGAAAGUUUGCGGCUCAACCGUAAAAUUGCAAUUGAUACUGGCGGUCUUGAGUACAGUGGAGGUAGGCGGAAUUCGUGGUGUAGCGGUGAAAUGCUUAGAUAUCACGAAGAACCCCGAUUGCGAAGGCAGCUUACUAAACUGUGACUGACAUUGAUGCUCGAAAGUGUGGGUAUCAAACAGGAUUAGAUACCCGUGUAGUC